rnacentral:RNase_P_RNA from 1 species
CGAGGUGGUCGCAAUCGGGGCAGCGUUUCGGUCUUCGGGCCGGGCGCCGGGCCCGGUUGAGGAAAGUCCGGGCUCCCGAAUGGCCAGGCUUGCUGGGUAACGCCCAGUGCGGGUGACCGUGAGGAGAGUGCCACAGAAACACACCGCCGAUGGCUCAGGGGGGUUCGCCCACCGAGCACAGGCAAGGGUGCAAAGGUGCGGUAAGAGCGCACCAGCAGCAUCGAGAGGUGCUGGCUCGGUAAACCCCGGCCGGGAGCAAGGCCGAGGGACAAGGGUUGGCCAUGACACCCGUCCCGCUUCAUGUGUGCCGCUCGAGGCCGUUGGUAACAACGGUCCCAGAUAGAUGACCGCCCCGGUCCGCUCCGGCGGAACGGAACAGAACCCGGCUUACGUCCUGCUU